rnacentral:lncRNA from 1 species
AAUUUUAUAAAUUUACUGUAUGCAAAAGUAUAAAUUAUUCUAAAUAAUAAGGAUGUUCUGGUAACUAACAGAAAACCCUGGCCGUUUUUGGCACAACUUUUUUGAUCUUUUGGUCCUUGAUGCUGUUCGACUUUGUGCUUGUUUCGGCUUUCAAACUUUUGUAUCUGGGCAUCACUAGUAGAUCUUGUGUGGAUAAAAUGCACUUCUGGCGUAUUAAAAUUUUCAACUUGUUGCCUUUUGUUGGCUGUUGUUCGUGUGUUUCUUUGUCAAUUGUAUUCUCCAAUUUAUUUAUAUUGUAGUCCUGUGGUGUUGAGUUGUCAUUUUAAUGUUAUAUUUCACAUGGCUAUAAAAGGGGAGGUUUGGCAUGCCACAAAACCAGGUUCAACCCGCCAUUUUUUCCUUUAAAAAUGUCCUGUACCAAGUCAGGAAUAUGGUCAUUGUUAUAUUAUAGUUCGUUUCUGUGUGUGUUACAUUUUAACGUUGCGUCGUUUGUUUUCUCUUAUUUUUGAGUGUAAAUUCACAUUGCAAUAAGACGUGUCACGGUACUUGUCUAUCCCAAAUUCAUGUAUUUGGUUUUGAUGUUAUAUUUGUUAUUAUCGUGGGAUUUUGUCUGAUGCUUGGUCCGUUUCUGUGUGUGUUACAUUGUAGUGUUGUGUCGUUGUUCUCCUCUUUUAUUUAAUGCGUUUCCCUCAGUUUUAGUUUGUUACCCC